rfam:Aedes albopictus isolate Foshan contig33741, whole genome shotgun sequence.
UAGCCUAGUGGUUAGGUUUAUGGAUUGCCAAUCCGGAGAAGGCGGGUUCGAUUCCCGU